GAUGAAGAACGUAGCGAAAUGCGAUAAGUAAUGUGAAUUGCAGAAUUCAGUGAAUCAUCGAAUCUUUGAACGCACCUUGCACCCUUUGGCAUUCCGAAGGGUAUGCUCGUUUGAGUGUCAUUGUACUCUCACUCUCCCGAUACUUUUGGAUCGGGAGUGGUGGACUUGGGUGCUGCUGCUUAGCUGUGGCUCGCCUUAAAUGAAGUAGUGCAACUCUCGGUUGGACAUAGUACGGCGUGAUAAGUGUCUUCGCCGGCACCUCACUAGAGGGUGGCUGACCGGGAGCUCUGUGCUUCAAACCGUCUUCGGACAACAACUGACAACUUGACCUCAAAUCGAGUAGGACCACCCGCUGAACUUAAGCAUAUCAAUAAGCGGAGGA
rnacentral:misc_RNA from 1 species